CUGAGUGUCUAGUUAUACAUACCCCUUAAAAAAGACAUUUUUUUAAUAAUUUAAAAAAGGACAUGAACUUUUAAUUAUCAUUAAUAGUCCUGUCUUAAGUAAAAUUAAUUUCUACUGGAAUGAGUUUGUUUCACAAAACAUUCAAGAUGUGUGUGAGACAUGACAGAAGCAAAGAACUAUGCCAAAAUAGAUAUUUCUGAUUAUGUAUUUUCUUUUCUACUUUUCAUUUGUAUGAUUUUGAGACAACACAUAUAUCAGAUACUCAAACAGUUGCUAGGGGGAGGGAGGCAAGAGAGAGAGAAAGAGAUUUUACAUGUCCACCUCUUGAAGAUGUUACUAUACAUACACAUAUUCAAUUACUGCUAUUUGCUAUAGUGACUAUGCUCAAAUAGUGCAAGUUUGCAUUGAGCUAUAGCUAGGUAGAUACAUAUAUAUAACACCUAAAACUAAAAACUAAUUUAGUGCAUAUUUGAAAUCACGGUGGCGUCGCAAUUUUAUUGAAGUUCUGUAACGUAGUUUUUGCCAAAAAUCACAGUGAUUCAUUGUGAUUAUACUAUACUCACCGUCAAUUCAAACAUGCAAUAAUACUAAAAAAAAGGUACUUUUGCCUAAGCGUACUUAUGCCAAUUAAGAAGCAUAGAGAUACACAUCCUCAUAAUAUAAAACUUCCCUUGUUGUUGCCUCACCAUUCUUCUCCACUUGCCAAUUCUUCUACUCAUGUUUUCCAUCAUUUUGAGUCUCUACUAACCCUUUGCGCACAAUUUAUUGAAGUUAAAAAAUCCCAUCUGGCAGGAAACAAUGUGCUUGUUGAAUUCACAUUUGAAAUUUCCAAUUCCUCAAUAUCCAAUGCCAAGGCUCCACUUGUACUUAUAUGUGACACCAAUACACGUGCUUUUUCUAUUUCCUAAUUUAAUCUUAAAUGCAUAGUUUUCAGUUAAAUCAUGCCGGCAAUUAGUGAUUGUCACUUC
rnacentral:lncRNA from 1 species